rnacentral:lncRNA from 1 species
CUCCCCAGUUGCCUGUGCUGUUCCCCUCUGUGUAUGUAUUUUCUGGCGUGUAAAAUGAUGUAUGAAUGCAUGAACUGGGCAGUUGCUCCUUCAGAACAGAAGCUCUGAUAUCUGAACUUGAGAUGUCAUGAGCUCUCAACUGAACAUGUAAAUGAUAAUGGCAGGCUUGUCUUGCUUGAUCAAAAGGAAUGAACAAUGGGGAUAAUAAUACUUAGGCCCUGUUCGGUAAUGGUCCGCUCCGGAAAUCUACGGAGCGGGUAAAUGGCAACUCCACCAUUUUAACCGACAGCUCCGCGAACUCCGCAACCGGAGCUGCGGAGCUGCGGAGCAGAGCAAUGCCAAACAGCUCCUUAUUGGAUGCCUUCAUUGCACUGCCAAGUUUCUGUAUUAUGUUGUGCUGAAUGAAGCUUAAUUAUUCAGACUGAUAAUGAUAAGAUUGUAUGCACAUGUGUUCUAUUCUAUGGUGGAGCAAAGUGAAGCAGAUCAAGCAAUAUGGUUAUGCUAAUCUUGAUGCAAAUCCUAGAUAGAAAAACCUAAUGCCCAUCUUUUGGUAGUAGUAGAUGUUUGCACUGCACUGUCAAAAUGUGUUCUGUCAGCAGUCCGGUAGUGAAGCAGAACAGAGCAAUACUCUGCUACUCCACCAACCAAACCCCUUCACUCCCCCACACCCACGCCGCCCCGUCCCAAAGCGAAUCCGGCAGCGGCGCCGGCCACCGCCCCACGGCUCGUUCCAAGCUCGAGCGUAUCCUAGGGGAAACCGCCGGCGGGCGUCAGAAAAAGAUGCUCUUUUAGGGCAUCUUCAAUGGUUGUAAGAUAGUUGUUGGUAGACUUUGUCACAUAGAGAUAUAAUACUCUUUCUUUACAACUUCAAGUGAGUGUUACUGUCUUAUGCAUAUUCGGUUUCCCUUAUUAGUCGAGGUUAUAGUAAUGUAAUUGAUGAGUUAUGUAUGCAUGCGCAGCAUUCAUUAUAUUCUUCUAGAGAUUAAGCUUGAGCAGGAACUAGUAACCGUCUUAGACUCGAGACAAAAAAUUGUCUUGUAGAGAAGCACGCCCCGGUCACCGUCGCCGGCGCCAGGAUCUGUGAUGGUGAGUGGCUCUACGCCGACGCCGACGGCAUCCUCGUCUCCAGGACCGAGCUCAGCGUGUAGUUCCUCUCUGUGUAUACAUUUACUUGUGUACACAUGUGUUCUUGAUCAAACAAUGUGCUUAUGUUAAUUAAUCUUGACGGAGAUCUUAGUUAGCAAAUCUGAUCCCCAUCUUUUGGUGUCAGAUAUUUGUACUGAACUGUCAAAAUGUUUGUUAUGUUCUGUCAGCAGUAUUUUAGGGAAGCAGAGCAGAGCAAUCCUCUGCUACGAGUGACGAAGUGGUUUUUUGAACUCCCACCAACCAAACCGCAAACCUCUUUUUACCGGUGCAGGGAUGUACCGGUGCUAAAUCCACCCUUAAAUUCUUGGAGAUUGGUGCACACUGUCUACAUGCAUACUAAUAUUCCUUUGUAUUCUGUUGAACAUCAUCAUCUAUGAAAUGUCUUGUCAACUCUUGUCAGCAUUUUUUGUCAGUACGAUGCAUGCAUGGCUCAGACAUACUCUCCUCCUCUGGCUCCCACAACAAAGGUACCCAUUUAAAUUUCAUUUGAUAUUUUCAAUCGUUCAUAUCUUUUAAACCAAAAUUACAUAUGUGAAAUAUUUAUAUAUUUGAUCUCCGGGUGUCAAGACCUUUAGAACAAGCUCAAUUUUGGAUACAUUUCCAAUACAUUUAAUUUUCAACAUUUCAGUUAACUUAUUUCACUCUAUAUAUUCUGUGUGAAACUGCUUAUUUCAGUGUUUGAAACUUAUUUUACUCUAUAUAUGGAACAUAUGAAACAUGUUAUUUCACUCUGUGUGAAACUUCUUAUGUCAGCCAGAUUUAAAAAUAACAUGUUUCACACAUUUCAAAAAGUAGCUAUUUUCAUAUAUUUCACUUAGUUCAAAAAUCUAAUUUCACUAAUUUCGUAAAUUCUAAUUAUUUCAGAGAAAUAUGUGUUUGAAUGCUAUUUUUUAUAUGAGUGAAAUAGUUUUUUAAUUGAAAUAUUAUUUUCGUGAAAAAUCCUUAUUUAUUUCUGCAUUGUGAGUGUAAUGUGUUUUCUGAAACUAGUGAAAUGAGCGAAAUCUAUCUUUUGUAACGAGUAAAAUCACUUUUUUGAAACAAGUGAAAUAUAGUAUUUCAUUUGACUGAAUGUAAUGUGUUUUCUGAAAUAAGUGAAAUUAGUUUCUUGAAACGAGUGAAACAUAGUUUGAAAAUAUAAUUUUUUUGUGAUGUGUGAAAUAUAUUUUUAAACAAGUGGAAUAUAGUACUUCAAAUGAGUGAAUCUAAUGUGUUCUCUGAAAUGAGUGAAAUAAGUUUUUUCAACUGAGUGAAAUCAGUUGUUUGAAAUAAAUGAAAUAUUAUUUUGAAAUAAUAAAAUCAAUUUGUAAAUGAGUGAAAUCUGUAUUUCAAAUUAGUGAAAUAAUUUGUUCGGAAUGAGUAAACUUUAUUUAUUGAAAUGAGUAAAAUCGUAUUUUUUAUAAUGUGAAAUUAAUUGAAACAGUAAAAAUUCAAUCUAGCCAAAUUGUAUCCAAGACCGGUCUUGUUUUAAAGGUCUUAUCACCCUGAAUUCAAAUGUACAAAAAAAUUUAUUAAUGGAAAUUUCGUUCAUAAGUUAUUAACCAUUCAAAAUAUGACGAGCAAAUAAAAUGCAACUACUUUGUUUGGGGGAGAGAACCCAUGCACCGUCCUUUUAAUCAGUCACCCACUAAGUCACAUCUAAAACUGCCACACAUCUGACAUGCACAAAUGUAUUCCUUUGUGUACUGUUUGUAUUGCAUAGUAAAUUAUUUUUACUUCAUACACAAAAAGCUGGCACGAAUAUCAGAGAAAGCAAUUGAACGGCAGAUUCUCCACCGGUAGCUCCCGGCUCCGGUAAAAAAAACUUAGUCACCAACCAAACCCCCUUCACUUCCCCCGCACCGCCCCUUCCCAAAGUGAAGCCGACGGCGUUUUUAGGGGGAGAUCAGCCACCCCUCAUCGCCAUGAUGGUGCUGGCGCCGGGCGUCAGGCUCUAAACCCACCUAGGGUUUCGGCCGGCGGCGAUGCGGGUCGCUAGUGUGCCGCGCAACUCCGUCGCCACCGGGGCGGUGUUUCUGUGAGUUUGUUUAGGUUUUGUGUUCUGCUCAGAAAGACGAGAUGAUGACGGCUCUAUGAAGGUGGAAUAAAUUUCUCCUUGCCCAUCCUAUUCCGGUGAUGCCUCUAGCGUCUUCGAAGGGUGUGUGCAGGUGCGUCUCCAACGGAUCUCGCGGCAUUCCGUCGGUGCUGGUCUUUGGUGGAUCUGCUUGGAUCCAAUCUUCGUCUCCGUGCGUGUGUCUACAGGUUGAAUACUUUUGAUCUAUACUUCUCUUCAUCAGUGACGACGGUUGAUCCGAUGAUGUGGGGCCUUAGCACGAUAACUUGCUGACUGUCCACUACAAGUUUGGCCCGACUCGAGUGAGGGAGGGGCUCUCACCCCAGUGCUUAUAGUCGUUAUUAGGUUGUUUAUGGACAUGGAUGUAAUUUAUUUAUUUAUUUUUGUGUUCUUUGUACUGUCAUGACACGAUGGAUAGGUAGAAGGUUUCCUCAAGAAAAAUGUGAUGGAAAUCCUAGCUAAAGCAUUCUAUCGCCUAUUUUUCUCGUGAGAUGUUUCUUUGCUUUCACCCCUUCAAAGAAGUUCUUCACUUCGGCUCGCACGAUCUUCGCGUUCUCCUCCUCGGUCCUCUCGUAUGGUAACUUCUCUGGAGUCUUCAGAGAAGGACCAAAUCUGUAUUGCCUCCCGCCUCUGGCAGCUGUACUGCUAGACGCCGGCAGAGCAGACGGAGCGGCUGCGGCUGUCUUCUUUCCUUGCUUAGGAGGCGGAGGAGAAGGACUACGACGCGCCGGAGCAGCCGCAGCGGCGGCGGGUCUCGUCCGCCCUUGCUGACGAGGCAAAGAAGGAGGAGGCUGGCUGCUCUGGCGCGCCGGCGCUGGCGGAGAAGGAGGCGGAGUGUCGCCACGCGCCGGAGAAGGAGGUUGAGUGCCCUGAUCACUCGCCGGAGGAGGAGGCGGAGGAGGAGGCGGAGUGCCCUUACUCGCCGGAGCCGUCCAGUUCGGAAGCUUGAUGAGCUCCUUCCGCCAUAGGCAUGGAGUCUUCAGAGCAGAACCCAGCCGAGUCUCCCCUUCACCGGUAGGGUGGUCAAGCUGGAGCUCCUCAAAUCCCUCCAUUAUUUCAUCCACCAUCACCCUGGCAUAUCCUUCUGGAAUCGGCCGGCAGUGGUAGGUUGCGCCGGGUUCAGUAGGUAAAACAGAGCCAACAGCCGCCUUGACUUUGAAGUUCUGCCAUUCCGCCAUAAGGUGGCAAUGUUGAGACUCCGUGAUAGCAUCCACGGGGUAGCUAGCAGGAGCCGCAUGCUCCAGCUGAAGCAGCUCGGUGGAAGCCACGCUGCUUCUCCGCUGAGAUGGUGGUGUAGCUUCGGGGGCAGUUUCGGCAUCUCGAUUGGAUGCCUACAUGGCGCUGUAAAAAUAGUGUAUUUUAUUAUUUAUUAUGUUCAUAAAGUUUAUUCUAAAUGAUAACAAAUAUUAUCUUUGUCUCAAAUGUUUAUCCUACGUUUUUAUUUAUAUAUAGACGAAAUCAUAUUUAGUUAUAUUCGUAUCUAUGUAAUUUUAAGACACAUAUUUUGAGACGGAUGAAUGGAGGAGUAGUAUGCCUUUUGGUGAAGCAGAGCAGAGCAAAAACAAUACUGUACUACUCUGCUACUCCACCAAACCCCUUGGCUUGCUCCCAAACCCAAACCGAUUCCGGCGGCGCCGCCGGCCGCCGACCACCAUCCCCACAAUCCAUUCCCAGCUCGGGCGUAUCCUAGCAAGCGAGCGUCAGAAAAAAGAUGCUCUUUUAGGGGAAACCAGCCAGCCCCCGUCGCCAUGCCGGUGCUGCCGCCGGGCUCCAGGCUCUAAACCCAGCUAGGGUUUCGGCCGGCGGCGAUGCGGGCCGCCAGUGCGCCGCGCUACUCCGUCGGCGCCGGCGCCGGGGCCGGGGCGGUCUUCCUCGGCGACGGCGACGUCGACCCCGAGGCCCUCACCGAGGAGGACAGCCUCGUCGGCGGCGGCGACUCCAACUCCGUGGUUGGUGAGUGGCUCGUUCCAAGCCGCGCGCACCUGCUCAAACUGAACCGCGUCCCAUGGCUGGUUAGCUCGUUCCAAUCUGUGGUGAAACCCAGUGUUGCCCGGAGCAGAGCAGACCGUCUCAACCUCUAGUGAGCACCAAAUCCGUGCCGGAAAACAGGUUAUCUGCGCGGCGGUUCGACUAGGAAGGAAGUUACCAGGCUUUUGCGCGGCGUUAAUGGUCACCGCAUUGUGUCCAUAUUUGGUCCGAGCAGCCGGUGCUGGCUGCGUAGUGCUACAAGCUAUGCUUUUCUUGUCAGGAUUUGCCAUUUUUACCAUGUGUUUCGUUGUAGUAACCAGCAUGUGAACCUAAAUGCAUAAUGACAAGUAAGAAGGCUCUGUUCAUUGCUGGGCAUUUACUUCGAAAAAUGCCUUGUAUUUAAAUGCAAAAGUACAAGAUUUCCGUGCCAGAAAUUUUGCUUUGGCUUUGUGGAAUGGGGCGGUAGGGAAGUGUCAUUUUGUGCAAUGAAAAUGCUGUGUAUUAAUUUUAUUUUGUAUUUUUCAAGGUAGACCAUUGGCAUUUACUUUGACCGGCCAAAAAUGCGGAGGUAGGAAUGUGUUGUUUUGUGAAAUUAAAACAUUCUGUGUAUUCAUUUAUUUUUCAAGAUUGACUGUUGGCAUUUACUUCGACCGACCAAAAAUGGAUGCAUUUCCUGUUAGUGCCCCAGAAUAGCAUGUUUCUUGUAACAAAACACAACGCCAUGGUUUUGAGUGUUAACCGUUGCUUUAUCUGCUAGGAUUGCUUGCAUGGAUCAUACAGCAGCUCUUUAAGCCUCCAUGGUGUCAGAGUUGACGACGAACACUCGGCUCUUGAGAACAGCAGCAGGCCUCCUAGUCAUAUUAAUAUCCUAACACCACAAGGUACAACUCUUUCUGUUAUUCAUCCGGCUCUGUCUGCUGUUAGUGCUUUCUCUGUGCCUGAUUCCCCUCUUCAUUACAGAUGUUGUACCCAUCGAAGUGGCACGGUCUAGAUUCCUGGACAUCAUCAUUGACCAUUUUAUUGGCCAGAAUGUUAUCGAGGUGGGAGAACCCUCUCUCUAUGACUCUAUCCUGGCCAGCAAUAGAAUCAACAAAAGAAAGCAACAAGACGUACAAUACGAAGGCGACCCGAGGUUUGCUUUGCCCUUGAUGUACAUAGCCAACUUGUAUGAGUCCUUGGUGAGCGACGUCAAUGCACGCCUUGCUUCCUUGACUGGAUCCCGUGAGAAAACUAUGGGGGUAGCUCUUGAAGCUGCCGGCGGCCUGUACAGGAAGCUGACCCAAAAGUUUCCCAAGAAAGGUAUGAUGAUUAGUGAACAGCAAUUUGUAUUUGGUCGCGCCCACUCUACUCUGGUUAUUUGUUCUUCUCAUCCGAGUCUCCUUUGGUGUUACGCUACAGGAAAUUGUAGCUUCAGGAGGAGGGAGCUGGCUACUUCUAAUGCAACAAAGACAAAGUUUCCUGAACUUGUGGUACAGGAAGAAAAGCGGGUCCGUUUUGUUGUAAUCAAUGGUUUGGUGAUCAUAGAGAGGCCAAAUAAUAUGAGAAUGCAGGAUGCGGAAUGGUAUUUUCUCUGAUUCACCCUGUAUUUCCUUCCUUAUGCAUGUGUUGGUUGUUCACCUGUUCUAUAUUGGGGGCAUUAUAGGAAAUUUCUUGUACUUGAACUUUCCUAUUGAUUGUCUUUCUGUUAUCCAUUGGUGGCAAAGUUGUAAAAAACUUUCUUGGACCAAAUUAUGCUUUUAGAAAGCCAUUUCUGAGUAACCUUUUCUUCUACUCUGUUCCAUAUUAGUUUUCGCUGAAACGGAUGCAUCUAGACGUCUUUCAGUGCUAGAUACAUCCGUUUGAGCGACAACUAAUAUGAAACGGAGGGAGUAGUAAAUAUGGACUUGAAAUUGAUAAGUUGCUUGAUAAUAUUUCUUACUAUAAACGAUGCUCUCUUGUAAAUUGUGUGAUGAAGUUACUGUUUUCAUAAGCCAAAAUACUGCAUAUUCUUGAAUUGGUGGCCCAGUCAGUUAUAUAUAAUUUUUUUUCCUUUGACCAAAUUCUGCUUCUAGAAACCCUUCCUUGUUUUGAACUUACAGAGUCUGUAUUAAAUAUGCACUCGAAACAGAUACAUUGCUUUCUAAUAUUUCUUACUAUAAACCAUCGUCUCUCGUAAGUGGUGUGGAUAAAGUUACCUUUUUCAUAAGCCAAAUAAUGCAUAUUCUUGAAUGACAGACUCUGUUCCUUUGUUGGCAUUUACUUCGAACAAAUCAUAUAUAUUUUGGCUGGUUCACAAUUUUGUGGAAGGCAAACUUUGAGUAUUUUAUAUGCACCAAUAUGUUUGCCUCAACAGGGCUUAAUUGUACCAAUCUGCGAAGUUGUUUCCUUGCUUAAGGUAACUAUAAGAAAUUGGCUGUAUUCCUGUCCGGUUGUUUCCUUGCUAAAGAUAACUUCAGAAGUUUGCUAAUAUAAUCAAAUCUUCGGUUAAUUAAAUUAAUUAUAAUUUCAGGAAAAAGCUUUAUUUAUCCUCAGUUUCCACUUUGACAGUUGGUACCCUCUGAUAUGCCAUGAUUUAUGUAUUUCUAAGUCUUGAUUUUUUCUCUCUAAAUGUGCAGGUUCAAAAGAUUGACCGGUCGAAAUGAAGUGGCCAUUUCAUCAAGAGAUUACAAAUUCUAUUCACCUCGACACAAGUACAGGCGUACCCUGCAGCCAGUAUUUGACAUUCCUAGCACGUCCGUAAGUGCAUACUGGAUUUAAGAUUCUAAUGUUGCAGCUAAACCAAUUUGGUUUUUCGUUUAAUUGGUUCCUCUGUCCAGGUUUUGUCAGAGGAUGAGACUUCUCCAUUGGUUUGUUCUUCAGAAUUUCGUCCACCAUUCGAGGUAACUCUUAUCCUUUGAUACCUGUUCAUGACUAAAUGACGACAUCCCAAAUUCACAGUGACUUCUCCUGUCCUACUUUGUUAAAUGAGAUUAUUUUUUCUGAUUCAUCCACCUUUUCAGUUGGUCGCCACUAAUAGCUUGCUCUCUUCCAGAUGCAAAACCAACACGAGUCAUCAUCGAAGCGACACAUUGAACAGAUAGAAAGUCAACCUUACUUGCAAUUUCUCGAUCAAGCAGAGCAUGACAACAUCCAGCAAAACCAACAUAGUUCUCAGUUCCCUCCUAUUCAUCCAUGUGCAUCGUCCUCGCAACUGUCAGAUAACCCCCAGCAGCACCAGUCCUAUCUAUCUCCGCAUCUAUCUUCCAUGCAAGCUGGACACAGCCACCUUGGAGGACGCUCGAAUAUUCUUGUGAGUGAAUCUUUAUUUUUAGUACUGGCCAAGUCACAUGCCAAAUAUAGUACUCCCUCUGAUCCAUAUUACUUGUCGCUCAAAUGGACGGAGGGAGUAGUAUCAAAACGUUCAUCAUGCAGUAAUUAGUUGCAAGUCAUCCUGUCUGUCUGCACUGCAUUAUUUACGCACUGCAUUAUUUCGACAGCUGAACAAAAACAGAAAUCUACUUUUAAUGUUCAAAUCAGGUGCACUGUUAUCGUGAAUUGUCUUGAUGGUAUGUUUUGUAUUUCAGCCAAACGGCCCUGCAAAGUUCUGCGACGAGUGCGGUUUGCCGUAUUUAAGGGCGGCAUCCAAGUUCUGUUCAGAGUGUGGCACCAAGAGGCUAGGGAUCUGACUGAGCGAUGCAUAGUUAAGGAAUUUUGUCGCAGUUCAAUGUUGUUUCUUUUUUCUGCGGGGAGUUCAAUGCUGUUUCAGCCAUGAUGGGUUUUGGUUGUUGUAACUGAACUUGAGUUCACUCUUGCUUCCUUCAAUGGAAAUAUAUAUCGAUGGAUGUGACUCCCUCAUAUAUCAGCUGUUGUUAACUGCUGUGCCUUACUAUGAUCUAUAUACUUUUUCUUUAAGUGAAAACAAUUGAUGGAAUAAAUGGAAUAUUAGCCCUUGUAGUCAGCAUACAGUUUACGGAAAAAUGAGCCAUUUGCUUGUUUUGUGUAAAUCUAGGGGAAUUUUGCGUAAUCCAUUUAUCACCUUUUCAUUCUAGAAUUGUCUACUAUAGAUCUCAUAAAAAUACAUUACUUGUCAAACAAACUAUGAAUAUCGGAGAUAGAAUUGACACCCCACAAAUUGGUCGUCACUUAUUUCUUCAGCAAGAUAUUUUCUUUACCAAAUUAACUUGAAGCCAUUUGUUUUAUCACUUGGCAUCUUCUCAAACAUGUAUUCCCUUUACCUAUAGAAUAAAUUCAUAUCCAUGAAACUGCAACACUGGACUACAAUCAAAGUGCAGCAUACUCAUAAUAAACUAUGAAUGGAAGUGCAGCUACAUUAGAGGGGCAGUAAUUAAAAUUGAUGUACACCAAACCAAGACACUGGACUGCAAUCAAAAUACUACUAAUAAUAAACCAUGAACUGCGAGACACAGUAGCAUCCUAGCAGCAGUACACUGCCUGAAGAUGUAUGCACCACUGCGCUAGACGGUCGGCGAUCACCACGGCACGGCCGCCAGCUGCCGCGCAGCCUGGUCGACGCUCACCAUGGAAGUGCAGCCACAUUAGAGGCAGUAGUUCCUGCAACUAUGAAGCCAUCUCCUGCAACUCCACGUCUAUCUCCUUCAGAGCGUUCUUGAUGCUCGACAGCUUUGACUCGAGUGCCCUCAACCCCUCUGUGGCGCGAGCCCGCUCCAGCUUUGCCGCAUCGUACCCCUCGUGCAGGUGAUCUGCUUUCUUGAGAAGGGUCAGGAGGCUGUUGACGCGCUCGCGCAUGAAGCCAACGUCCAUGCCCAUCAUCUCAAAGGACUCCAGGUCCUUCUUCCAUCGUGUGAGGUCCUCGCGGGAAGGAGAGGCGGCGGAGGCCCUGAUGCCCUUGGCUAUGCGAACCGUCUCGAUGAUCACUCCUGCAGCAAGCAAAGGUUCGAGGUUCUUCUGCAGACGCCCAUGGAGGAGAGACUUGCGGUCGUGGCAGAGCCCGUGGUACGCCCUACGUGUCUCGGUGGGGAGUUGUUUGUCAUCGAUGGCAGAACCGCCGACAAUGACCUUGAAGCUUCUGAAGCUUUUUACAACGUUGAAGUCGGUCCCUGGUUCUGAAGAUCCAAUGCCAUCUUCUUUGUUCUUGGCUGAUUUCGAACCCGGUGGCCUCCCUCUCUUGCUCUUGGCGGUUUUGAGACUUGCUGGCCUCCCACUCUUUGUCUGUAAAACAACAAAUCAAAGAGUUGGCCACAAUAAGAAAUUUAGACUCCCAUCCACAGCGCAAGGUGUGAAAUAAUAAAUGAAAUGUAAGGUCUUAUGUGUGGCUCAAAGUCAUCAAAACAUGUCUUAAGUGAAACAAUUUGAAAAUAUUUCAUGGAAUGCCUUACCGGCGGCUCAUAGUCAUCACCCUUGUCACUCUUGGCAUCGCUGCUACUGCCGCUGUCAAUCAACAUUGGCUUAUGCGCUAACGUACUGUUGGCUGGCCACCUUCUCUUCCUCUGAAAAUAAAGUAAACAACCAAAACAAAGCAACAAAUUCAGUAUGUGUUUACAUAUGCCGCAGAGAUAUCAUAUAAUCUGAGGCAUGAAAAGUACUUUUAUGAGAAUGACCAAAAUUUUCCUUACUUUGUAGGUCAUAGUGAUAGUCCUCACUUCAUAGCCAGAGCUUGGACGCUUUACUUGCUCAUUCUCCAACCUGCCGUUGUGAACCAAAGUGAGCUUUGGAUUCGCCAACGCCGUCUUCUGCCCUGUCUCUACCUUUGCAGACUUGAGGAAACACGAUGGCAUCCCUCCCUUCCCCUGGAAAAUAAUUAGGAAACCAAGUCAGACUACUCAUUGUUACGAGCAUAAACAUAAAUUGCACAAUAUUUUUUUUUACUGUACUAAACUUUAACUAGUGAAUGUAGCAAUAAGUAACAGUAGUAAUCACUAGUCAGUUCGUCAACGCCAGAAACAAACUCCCGCAACAGUACCCCAAUGACGGAUCACGGAAUGCAGUCUCGGAUAAAAAUAGACAAUCUGGCAUGUAAGGUAGCGCGUGUGUGUGGGUUGUGCGUGUCUAUAUUGUACUCGCUCUGUAAACUAAUACACUAAUACAGUAUUAAUUUACAGAGGGAGUACUCACUUAAUUAGAUUAUAAAAGACAUAUCAGCGAGUUUCAGCAAAAUUCAGAUGCGUCAUUUCUUGGCAUGUAAGUUAGCGGUACCAGCAGCAAAGAGAGAAUAACAAAAAUGUGUAUCUCAGUCUCAGGGAUGGAGAAAAUGAAGAGGACUCUUUUCUUGUUAUCCUUCUUAAGAAUCGACCAUCUUUGUCCUUUUUUUUUUCUGUGCCGGAAAGAGCUCACUAAAAAUUGUUCACAUAUAAAUAGAUAAAUAAACCAAAGCAUGAAGAAACCUCAUGAAAUCCUUGUAUAAUAAAUAAAAAGUGUAGUAAUAUUUAGUUUGUUGCCACAUUACCGAUGAGCACUAGAAAGAAAAUAAAUAAAUAACAGAUGAGCACUAGUAGAAGGCAUGGCUGAAGAUUCAGAAACAAAAGGUGAAAAGGCUAAUUAAAUGGUCGACAAAGAAAAGGGACUACUGAAGUGACCUGAGAACAAUUUCACUAACUUAAAUUUUUCCUAUGUUCAGUUCAUCAACUGACGACAAACCCGCAAAGUAAGCCAUAUGAAAGUGGCUUGCUGUUUUUAUCCGAAUCAGUCGAUAUAUGAUAACAUGAGUUCACAGGUACUCUGAAGCUUGGAGAAGGCAGAAUUAAAUGACUAAAAUGCAGCAAUGUGAGGUUGUAUUAUUGGGCGCAAAAUCAUCAUCGUCAUCGUCAACGUGUCUGCUGCUGCUACCACCGUUCCCGAGCUCGAAUGCUGUCUCCUGCCCGAUCUCGAAAUUGGCAGACCGCGGGGAAUCACCUACCGGCGUGCCUCGCUCCCUCUGGAAAUUAUGCGACAGAGCUAUCUGUAACUGUCACGCGAGUAAAUAUCAGUCAGAUCUAUAACCAAGAUAUACAGUCCAUGGACGUUUCUUUUCGUAAUCUUCUCAAGUAUCCUAUAGCAAAGGUGAUGUUCGAUCCAUCAAUCGGAAAAUUGAAAACAACCACAUGGACGUAUGUAUCGAUAGAAGUAGAUGUACAGAUAUGUAUGCAUAAAUAAAUGAAUGGAUGAAAGGAGUCGGAGAUGGAGAGGGGACUUGCUUUGAUGGGCUCGUCGACGACCGCCAUGGCACUUGCGUCUGAUGGGACCUCCGAUGCAGUGGGAGGAGGAGGAAGGAGAAGGGGACGGAGUCGGAGGAGUAAGGAGAUGAUAGUACUGUUACCACCUACUAUAACGGAAUGGGAAGGAGCUUGCCGACCGUUGGGCAGCGACGGUGAUCGACCGUUGGGAUUGUUUACCGUUUGGCACCUUUCCAAAAAAGCUAAAAAUCAGAUGAUUUGUUUCCAUCCAACCCAGAUAUAAAUUGAUACAUAUCUACUGUUAAGAGCAUCUACAGCCGGGACUUGGCAAAUCCGCUCCCUCAAACACCCGUGGACGCGUCCGGGCACGUCCGCAGGCACUGACCACAUCCGGACACUAUAUCUCAAAUCCAUACAAACUCAUGCAACUACGCCGACGCACACGCAUCGUCCGGCUACUCCAUCACACUACACUAAACAUGCCAUCGGACUAGCAAAAUUUGGCAUGUUUGGUUAUGGUGGAUUUUACCCACGACUGCCCUUGCCCUUCCCGGCACCCUUGUUGUCCUUCUUGCGGAAGUACAGGUCGAAGACUCAGUAUGGAUCGAGCCGGAUCUGCUCGUCGCCGGAGCUGUCCUCGUCGUCGCUGUCCUCCUUCUCCUCCUUCGGUGGCAGUCCAGCCAUGGCACGGACCGCCCGAUUCUUCUCUCGGGCGAGGGCGUGCGUGUUCCUCCGCAGCCGUUUCUUCACAAUGCGUGCGUGGAUGGCUUCUCCUCUGCGGCCGCCUGCGCCGCCGUAUCAGCCGCCUCCGCCGCCGCGAUACGGGCCUCGGCAGCCCUUAUCCUCUCGUUCCCACGGCGGGCUGCCCGUUACCGGUAGGACUCAUAGUCUGCCCGACCGGUGAUGGGGAAGGAGAGGUGUUCCGGCUGCCGGGACCGCGAGGAUCCAGCACCAGAGGACCCGAGAGCCCGAUGAGCCGACACUAAGUCAUCACGGCGAGCGAAUGGAUCCAUCCGCCAGCCGGGCGCUGUCCUCCCGUGAGCGGCGAAGUGCAAUGCGGACUGCCAUUGCCUCCUCCAACCCACACGAGAUGACACCGUAGGGAGGUUUGGGACAAUCCGGACUGGUCGAAGUCCGAUCUGCUGUCUGCCAUGGCAGAGAAGGCCAGAAACCGCCGAAGGUGAGCUCGGGUGACGGAGGGGAGUGGAGUGAAGUGGCUAGGGUUUGCUCCGGCAAGAGGAUAGGGACGAAUAUAAGUAGGGUCGGGUGGGCCAGCAUGGGCCGGGUCCGACGUGGCGGGCGUGCCCGGGCGCGCUCGGGUGCCCCCAUAUCCACCCCAUAUUUGGCCUGGAUAUGGUGGGUGCCGGUCAGCCUGGGCGUUUGAGGCCCGUUUGAGGCGUCCGUUUGGAUCGAAAAAAUGUGACCGGUUAGUGACUGGGCGGCGUAUGAGGCUGGUUUGAGAGGUCCAGCCGCAGAUGCUCUAACUACUCCAAUUUGUUGGUCAACCCUUUAUACCAUAGUUUUAAAAACCGGAUCAGUGACUAAACCAGUGAAGUUGUCGGUUCAAGUUUCCAUUGAUUAAUUGGACUGCCGGUUCACCGGUUCGUCAUCCGGUUUUUUUAAGGCUACAAAAAGUAUUUUAUUUAGCAGUAAAAAAAUGGUCAAAUAAGCUCAUUUACAUUUAUUUUACAGCAUCAUGUACUUUUUUUUGGGAUGAGUGGAUGACAGCAACGUGUGCACUAGGCCGCUGCCUGCUGGUAGUCCAGCAAACGGCCACACACGUAUUGAGACGGCCCACUUUGGCGUGUUUUUGUCCAAUCCGAUGUGAUUGUGGUGCGUUUACGGCGCCGCUAUGUCUAGGGAGAGCAACUAGUUAACAAACGCUCCUUUAAGAGCCUCGCAACGAUCAGUCAUUCGCCACGUGUCGCGUUCUGGAUGCUCCUUUCGGAUUUUGUUUAUUUUAUUUUUUCGCACGUGUUUUUGGCUUUUUAAACGGUUUUUCUUUCAGUUUUUUUUUACAUUUUGGUUUUUCCCCGGUCUUUCUUAGCUUUUCGAUCAAUUUUUUUUUCGAAAAAAACAAAUUUUGCGCGAAAAAAACGCGUUAUUUUUUCUUUCCCGAGAGUCACGGUUUUUCUUCCGCGAGAGGCACGGUUGUGCUAUAGCGAGAGUCACGGCCGUGCCUUUCGAAAACGGAAAAAACGCAUUUUCUGUUUUUUUUUUCUUUCGCGAGAGUCACGGUUUUGCUUCCGCGAGAGGCACGGUUGUGCUUUCGUGAGAGUCACGGCCNNNNNNNNNNNNNNNNNNNNNNNNNNNNNNNNNNNNNNNNNNNNNNNNNNNNNNNNNNNNNNNNNNNNNNNNNNNNNNNNNNNNNNNNNNNNNNNNNNNNNNNNNNNNNNNNNNNNNNNNNNNNNNNNNNNNNNNNNNNNNNNNNNNNNNNNNNNNNNNNNNNNNNNNNNNNNNNNNNNNNNNNNNNNNNNNNNNNNNNNNNNNNNNNNNNNNNNNNNNNNNNNNNNNNNNNNNNNNNNNNNGCACGGUUGUGCUUUCGCGAGAGUCACGGCCAUGCCUAUCGGAAAGCGAAAAAAUACGUGUUUUCUGUUUUUUUUCUUUCGCGAGAGUCACGGUUUUGCUUUCGCGAGAGGCACGGUUGUGCUUUCGCGAGAGUCACGGUUGUGCUUUGGUGAGAGUCACGGCCGUGCCUCUCGGAAAGGGAAAAACAAAACGCGUUUUUGUUUUUUUCUUUCGCGAGAGUCACGGUUUUGUUUUCGCGAGAGGCACGGUUGUGCUUUCGCGAGAGUCACGGCCGUGCCUCUCGGAAACGAAAAAAAAAC